ACGGGGCGCGCCGGUCGCAGGAGAGGACCCCGUGGCGCGGGCGUCUCCUCGGGUCCUUGAGCCUGAUCCGGCAGCGGAGCAGCCAUGUCCUUGAGACUCCUCACUCUGGCGCCGGCCUGCGCGUCUGCGAGCGGGCUUGUGUCGGGCGCCCGGCGCGUGGGACGAAUUCAUGCCAGUGUACAGUGCAAGCUGUGGUAUGGGCUUUUGGCGAACUUUCUUGGUGACAAGGCAUCCAAAAAACUGACUAAAGACAGCAAAGUGAUAACCGUGGAUGGCAACAUAUGUUCUGGGAAGGGCAGGGUCGCAAAAACAAUAGCGGAGAGUCUAGGCCUGAAGCACUUUCCCGAAGCAGGGAUCCAUUAUGCAGCCAGCGUCACGGGAGACGGAAAACCCCUGGAUGAAGAGUUCACUGGCAGCUGUAGCUUGGAGAAGUUCUACGAUAAUCCACAAAGCAAUGAUGGCAAUAGCUACCGCCUGCAGUCCUGGCUGUACGCCAGUCGCCUCCUGCAGUACUCAGAUGCCCUGGAGCACCUGCUGAGCACAGGACAAGGUGUAGUCUUGGAGCGCUCCAUCUACAGUGACUUUGUCUUCCUGGAGGCGAUGUACAACCAGGGCUACAUCCGGAAGCAGUGCGUGAACCACUACAACGAGGUGAAGAAACUUACCAUCCCCGAGUACCUACCUCCCCAUGUGGUGGUCUACAUCGACAUGUCUGUGCCAGAGAUCCAGGAGCAGAUCCAGAAGAAGGGAGAUCCACAUGAAAUGAAGAUCCCCUCCGCCUAUCUCCAGGACAUCGAGGACGCCUACAAGAAGACCUUCCUGCGUGAGAUGAGUGAGAAAAGUGAGGUUUUGGUGUACAGUGCAAGGGAAAUCCAAGAUACAGAAAAGGUGGUGGAGGACAUUGAAUACCUCAAGAUGGACAAAGGACCUUGGCCGAAGCAGGAUGACCGCACCCUUCAUAACCUGCAGAUGCUGAUUCAGGACAAGAGGCAAGUGCUGAAUUUCACAAGCAUCCCUGUCUAUCUCCCAGAAAUCACAGUCGGAGCUCACCAGAGUGACCGGGUCUACCGCAAAUUCAGAGAGGCACUGAAGAGAGACCCCAGGACCUGAGCAGCCCCUGGAUUUCAGAGUCCAGAUAAACACCAUCCACAAAGCCCAGAGCGUGGGUAUGUGAGGCGAUCAGCAGAUACUGGCCAGGCUCAGCAGCUGCCGGGCCGCAUGUACGCCCCUGGGUACAAUGCCGACGUGGGUGACAAGUGGAUCUGGCUGAAGUGAACGGCACCCUCCACGCAAGCUGUGUCACCGCGACAAAAACACGUGUCUGGUCCUGGACGCCGCGGGGCUUUCCAGCUGUGGGGGGGCGUGGGUCAGAAAAUCACACAGCAGAAGAAAGGGCCUAGCAAAGGCAUCUUCCCUGUGGUAAAUAAAGUGGCAGGAACAACUGCCGUUUAAAAGGUUUGGAACCUCCUUGCUUUAUCUAGAGUCAUCUGUAUUCCUAUGGAGAGGAUAUGGUCACUAGUGAAGGCCCUGGGUCAUGCAGCUUCAGGCUUCCAGAAAUAAAGCAGUUUCCAUGGAACUUCUUACAUACACACACAUACGUGUCUUCACCCAUGCUCCCCACGCUGUGCAGCUUCAUGUGGUUCAGUUUAAUUCAGGUAUGCCAUAUUAAAGAGGUUUUCUCCAGCCCUUUUUCCUGGUUUAGCAAUCUCUUAGAACAAAGAGAAAAAGUGGAGAAGAAUUACAAAAAGGGGGAAAGUGGCCGUAGAUUAUACCACUGCGUGUAUGAUUUAAAAGGAAUUUCAGCCCCGGGUCACAUGAUGCCCAUCCCCAUGUGGCCCUGAGCCCCGUCCUCACAGGGAGACUGAGCUAGAAGGUGGAAGGAAGGGACAGCAGCACUUGGCCUCAUUGCCUGUCAGGACUCAGUGGUGAGCAGUGCGGAAGAAAAUCAUGUUCCUUUCUUAGAGAAUUUCUUAGGACUGUUUCUUGCAGGAUAGCUGUAGUUCAGCAUUACUGUGCUGUCUGGGCAGCAACUUAUCUAUAUGUUGAGAUUUACAUUUAAAUCAAUUAAAAUGUGUCGUUUCUCAGUUGUACGGGACACAGUUUAAGCGUCCAGUACAUGUGGCCUGUGGCUCGGUGUAUGGUGCAGAAGCACACGUUUUCAUCUUGCAGGAAGUCCUGUCAGGCAUCGCUGCUGCGGAGCAAGCUGGAGAAGGGUACAUCCCACCGCCCUCUGCCCAUCCUCCCUCCAACCUUCCUUUCAUGCCUUACACUAUGAAAAUAAAGUUUCCCAGCAAGUUUGCCUUGGGGCCCGGA